rnacentral:rRNA from 1 species
UACGUAGGGGGGCGAGCGUUAUUCGGAUUUACUGGGCGUAAAGCGCGUGUAGGCGGCUGGUUAAGCGUGAUGUGAAAUCUCCGGGCUCAACCCGGAAACUGCAUUGCGAACUGGCCUGGCUGGAGUGCAGGAGAGGGUAGUGGAAUUCCCGGUGUAGCGGUGAAAAUGCGUAGAGAUCAUGAGGAAGACCAGUGGCGAAGGCGGGGUCUCUGGACAGUUCCUGACACUGAGACACGAAGGCCAGGGGGAGCAAAACGGG